rnacentral:rRNA from 1 species
UACGAAGGGGCUAGGCGUUGCUCGGAAUCACUGGGCGUAAAGGGUGCGUAGGCGGGUCUUUAAGUCAGAGGUGAAAUCCUGGAGCUCAACUCCAGAACUGCCCUUGAUACUGGCGGUCUCGAGUCCGGGAGAGGUGAGUGGAACUGCGAGUGUAGAGGUGAAAUUCGUAGAUAUUCGGAAGAACACCAGUGGCGAAGGCGGCUCACUGGCCCGGUACUGACGCUGAGGUGCGAAAGCGUGGGGAGCAAACAGG